UGAAGAACUUCCCUUGUCUCCUGUGGAUGGAGUUGGUUAUUUAUGGUGGUUUUAUUUCAAGCAUCAGCUAAUGUAGUUGAAACAGGGGAUUAACUAUAAAAACUGGGGAUGACUUAUGGAACCCAAGGGCAGGAAUCCAGCUGGGUCUCAGGAGAGGCUGGAACAGGGAGUGUGGGGGGCUCUUUCUCCAUCUCCUGUCCGCCCCUUUCUCUGCUUUUGCUCAGGACGCUCGCUCUGCACGAGGACCUCUUCUGCUUCUCAGCUGACUUGUUGGGUGAAGGUGGCCACCAGAGGCUCCUGAGGCCAUAUGUUACUCUGCUGCCCUUUGGUGAAUCUCACAUCCUCACCCUCAGUCACAGGCACUCACCGUCAGCAACAGUGAGAGUCACCCGAGAGCAACACGGCGGCAAGGAACCAGACUCAUGUCUUGGAGGAGAUGUGCUGGGCAGAAAGGACCACCUCCUGGGAGCACCAUUCACAGGGUCCACGAUGGCCACCUGAAUGGUAGCAGAUGUACUUUUCGGCUGUGGAAGCUCUCUGAUCUCUAACACUGGAUUCCUGGAUUCACCCGGAUGAAAAAGGAGAGACAAGGUCUGAGGUCGAAGCAGCAAAAGCAGAAAGGACAUGAAGCUUGAAGGAAAGAAGAUCAACUCCUACCCGGUCGGUCCUCUGCGUGCCUUUCCCUGGGCUUCCGAUUCUGUGCCGUGCGGAUGUAGUAACAGCAAUUCCCUAGACUCUUUCCAAAUCUCACUUUCAGAGUCUGUUUCAACAUUUCCACUAGUCCACAGGAGAUGUAAUUGCACUCUCGAUCAGUUACUCUGCGGGCCUAUUUCAGCUUCUUUCCUGCCUCUAUUUUAUGUCUGGAACGUUGCUUUUCUUUCUCUUUUUGCCUCCUGUUUUGAUUUAUACUCUCUGGUUAGAUUUUUUUUUUUUAGUUUCUGAGAUGUUUUUAUUCAGCAAUAUAUCAACAUUGCCUCUCACCUUAUACUGUACAUAACUUGUGGCAAAUGGAUAAUAAUAGAGUGAUACUUCACUUGCUAAUCAUCCAGUAAAGAGAAUGUGACUUAGUGAUCAGUGGCAAUUACCUUAGAAUUGCAACAUAUGGUAAAUUGAAUCUUUUUGUACAGUGGCAUUUAGUUGUUUGGGACCGUAUACCAAAUUAAUGGGAACAUCAGGUAAAUUUAACAUCUUUACUGCUUUAAUUGAUCCUAAAGUGGGUAAUUAUGUUAUCUAUGAAGUCAGUUUGUCCUUUUCCAUUAUUUAUGAUGUGCAGUUGUACACCAGGCACACACCAAUCACAAUGCAAUUGCAACAUGUAUGUUUGGAGGCUGCUCCAAAUGAGGGGCAAAACACGAAAGAGGAAUAACC